AUGAGUGGAGCUGGUAUGCCCAGCGCUGGCUGGGCCUGGCCCACCAUCCCAUCAAAGGUCAGGAUAUACACAUUCCUCCCUUACCCUAUAGGAAGGGGGUACCUGGGGCUGAUGGGAUGUGGGGGGGCUGAUGCCUUGGGAGAGGUUGUAAGCCAGCAUCCUUAUCCAUUCUCUGAAGGGGAUGAGCUGUGUCUUCUUCAACAAAGGCGAGAACAGCAUUGCAGCAGGCCAGCUCUUCGUAGAGAACUCAAUCCACAACCACAUUGUACAGAAGGUGGAAACCAAGGAAAGAGCCUGGAGAGAGAAAAAUGGAAGAGGUGGAUCCUAGCCUGGAGGCCAGAAGUUCUGAUGUCUACAUCCCACUGGUUAUGCCACCUGAGUUCUUUUCCGUAGCACAGCAUCCCAUACUCAGGAGCUUUUCUGACUCUCUGCACUCAGCCCCAGAAUCCAUCAGACACUAUAUGGCACAUCCUUUAAGGAGAUCCAGACCCACAUCUCCAGGCGGCAAAGCCUAGACCUACUUUUCGGUUGUCUGAGGCAACAGGGAAGACUUCCUGGAAGGAGGUGGCCUUGAAGCUGGGCCCUGCAGCAGGCAGAAGUGGGAGCAGGAGUGGGUGGACUCAAGGCCCAGGUGCCUCUGCUCCACUCUUACCACCGGGCAUUGCAGCAGGACUGGUGUUCCCUGGCCCCAUCCCCAUCCCCAUCCCAUGUUCUGGAGUCCCCAGACAAAUGUUCUUUCAGCUUCUCAGCCUGUGAAGCUGGGUGUAGGACUUGUGUAGAAAUACACUCUGCUGGCACCACCCCCCAACCCCACGUCCGGCCCUCACCUAUAUCCCUGGACACCUCCGUUUUCCCAGGUCAUUUGAUGCUAUGCUCGGGUCUCCUUGCACAUAGGAUACAUCUUGGGUUUCAGCCUGGAAGGCAGGUUUGGAACCAGAAUAUGGAACAUCCUGAGGGUGUGUGGAAUUUCUUCAGGGGCCAGUGGCUGGUGGCCAAAUGCAGAAAUGUCAGUGGGUCAGGUUUGGAGCAUUGCCAGGAACUUGGGCACCUGAGCAGGACCUGACUGGGAGAACUUUCCACAGGUAGAAGAGGUGAAGAGGAUGAAGAUCGGUAACCCUUUAGACCGGGACACCAACCAUGGACCGCAGACCCACCAAGCCCACCUAUGGAAGCUAAUAGAGUACUGCCAGCGUGGCAUGGAGGAAGGGGCCACGUUGGUCUGUGGUGGGAGUCAAGUCCCUCGGCCAGGUCAGUCAGAGCACUCCACUUGGGUGAACUGAAAGGCCAGUAGCGUGGCCUCUGGUUUCCUGUCUACUUCUAAUUGGAGGCAUGUGAAGGCCAUGGUUAGGCUCCCAGGCCUCAGGGCCCAUCUGUGACACUGGAUGCCAUGGCC
rnacentral:lncRNA from 1 species